rnacentral:rRNA from 1 species
AUGAGGAAAUCCGGCGGCGGCGGGGAGGACAAGGUCAUGGGCCCGCUCUUCCCCAGGCUCCACGUCAACGACACCACGCUCAAGGGCGGCGGCCCGCGCGCGCCGCCCCGCAACAAGAUGGCCCUCUACGAGCAGUUCAGCGUCCCCUCCCAGCGAUUCGCCGCCAACACCGCCCCCGCCGCCGCCCACCGCCCCGCCGCCAGCUACGCCGCCGUCUCCUCCGCCUCCGCCGGACAGAUUGGUGGGAUCGACAGACCUCUCUUUCCAUCAUUUUGUGUGCCUUCAAACGAACCUGUGCGUUUGCCCGAACACAUCAAGACCAACUCGAGUGGGCGGGACGGCCAUGCUACAUCUGGGAGGCUUUCCACCCAGCUUAAGAGCAAGGACGCCUAUGCUGCAGGAUCGACUGCUGAGUGUAGUAGUUCACAGCGUAGAGACAAUAACAGCAACAACAACAACACGAAGAAUUCUUCUGGGAAGAAGUUGACUAACGAUGAUGAUUUUACGGUUCCUUCUGUCUUCUGCUCUGGAGUGCGCCCUCGUUCCAACCAUGAGGAAGUGAGGAUCCAAGAGAAUUCCACACCCUUCCCAGCUACAAGUCCGUAUAAGAGUGGGCCUACAGUGUCCAAACCAACUGCAAAAUUUCCCAACACCGACAAGAGGUACCUGGAAGGAAGGAACGCGUCGGACACGAGAGCAAUGGACUCUCCAAGUAUUAUCAGGGACAAAGCACCAGCAAACACAACGACAAACUUUUUGGAAGCUGAAGAGAGGACUUCAUCAUUUCAAUUUUCUGCAGAGAAGACAAUGGGUAAAAGAGACGACAAAGGCUCUUCGUAUAGUAGGGUAAAAGAGACGAGCAGUAUAAAUGUUUCUGAUAAGCAACAUUCCCGAAACGAGGGGCAUCAGGCUAGAACAAGGAAUGAGAAUGCUGCUGAGUCUCAGAAUGCUCCAAAGGCUGGAAAUGGGCCAUACUCUACUGACGUCGCAUGCAACGGCGCUUCUAAUCUGUCGGAGAAAGGCCUAAGAGAGACUGGUGAAAAGAGAAAAAGAUCAACCGGACAUCACGAUGCGCAGAGGGAUGAUUCCUCGGAUUCCUCUGUGGAAUCUCUGCCAGAUCUGGAGAUCUCUCCAGAUGAUGUUGUCGGUGCUAUUGGUCCAAAGCAUUUCUGGAAAGCAAGAAGAGCUAUCGUCAAUCAGCAGCGGGUUUUUGCUGUCCAAGUGUUCGAGCUGCAUCGACUGAUCAAACAGGUGCAGAAGUUGAUUGCAGCAUCUCCACACCUACUUAUUGAAGGGGAUCCGUGCCUUGGCAGUGCCCUGGUGACAAGCAAGAAGAAGACGGCUGCAGCCAAUGUGGAAAAGCAGCUUCUAUCAGCUAAAAGCAAAGACGACGAUGAUGCACAGCUUACCCUGCAGCAGGCGGAGUACUCGAAAGAUAACACUGAAGGAAACCAGGCUUCACGAUCUCAAGACAAUGAUGUAGUCGAGGUCCGGCAUGAGAACCAAGCUGCAUCAAACGGUGCGGUUAGCAGUAACCCUCCUGCUAUGCCUGCUCCUCCCGACAACAAGCAGAACAACUGGUGUGCUCCUCCGCCUCAGAAUCAGUGGCUCGUUCCCGUCAUGUCUCCAUCGGAAGGGUUCGUCUACAAACCAUACACAGGGCCAUGCCCCCCGGCAGGAAGCAUCUUGGCCCCGUUUUACGCAAGCUGUGCUCCUCUGAGCCUGCCAUCUACAGCUGGGGAAUUCAUGAAUUCUCCAUACGGCAUCCCUAUGCCUCACCAGCCGCACCACAUGGGCGUCGGCGGCCCACCAGCCAUGCCUCCGAUGUACUUCCCGCCUUUCAGCGUGCCAGUGAUGAACCCGGUGGUCUCAUCCUCUGCAGUGGAGCAGGUGAGCCGCGUGGCCGCAGCGCGACCCAACACUCACAUCGAGCACCACUCGAGGAGCUCGUGCGACAUGAGGAACGAGGCUGUGUCGGCCGGCGGCGUCUGGAGGUUCCACUCGUCCCGCGGCAGCGAGCUGCAAGGGAGCAGCGCCGCCAGCAGCCCUUGUGACAGGCAGCAGGGCCAGGGCGAGGCGAGGGGCCCUGCCGCGGCCGCACCUGCGGCACCCCUCCCUACGUCGUCAGCCGGGAACGGGAACGCGGCCCAGCAGCCCCAGGUCUCCUCGGGCAGCCAGGAGAACCCGGUGGCGGCAGCGGCCCGUGUGAUCCGGGUGGUCCCGCACACGGCGCGCACCGCGUCGGAGUCGGCAGCGCGCAUCUUCCGGUCGAUCCAGAUGGAGAGGCAGCAGAACGGCCCGUGA